rnacentral:rRNA from 1 species
GAUCAUUAUUGAAAUAAACCUGAUGAGCUGUUGCUGGUUCUCUAGGGAGCAUGUGCACGCUUGUCAUCUUUAUAUCUCCACCUGUGCACCUUUUGUAGACCUGAAUAUCUCUCUGAGUGCUGCUAGUCACUCAGGUUUGGGGAUUGACUUUAUGUCUCUCCUUACAUUUUCAGGCCUAUGUUUCUUCAUAUACCCUAAUGUAUGUCAUAGAAUGUUAUCAAUGGGCCUUUGUGCCUAUAAAUCUAUACAACUUUCAGCAACGGAUCUCUUGGCUCUCGCAUCGAUGAAGAACGCAGCGAAAUGCGAUAAGUAAUGUGAAUUGCAGAAUUCAGUGAAUCAUCGAAUCUUUGAACGCACCUUGCGCUCCUUGGUAUUCCGAGGAGCAUGCCUGUUUGAGUGUCAUUAAUAUAUAUCAACCUCUUCAGCUUUUGGUUGUUGAGUGUUGGAUGUGGGGGUUUUUGCUGGUCUUUUAAAAAGGUCAGCUCCCCUGAAAUGCAUUAGCAGAACAAUUUGUGGACCGUUCAUUGGUGUGAUAACUAUCUACGCUGUUGACGUGAAGCCAGUUCUGCUUCUAACAGUCCAUUGAAUUGGACAAAUUUUCAUUAAUGUGACCUCAAAUC